ensembl:misc_RNA Metazoa_SRP Metazoan signal recognition particle RNA
GUCAGGCAUGGUGGCGCAUGCCUGUAGUCCCAGCUACUCAAGAGGCUGAGGUGGGAGGAUAGCUUGAGCCCAGGAGUUCUGGGCUGUAGUGCACUAUGCCAAUCAGGUGUCCGCACUAAGUUCGGCAUCAAUAUGGUGACCUUCCGGGAGCAGGGAACCAUCAGAUUGCCUAAGGAGGAGUGAAGCGGCCCAGGCUGAAAAGGGAGCAGGUCAAAACUCCCGUGCUGAUCAGUAGCGGGAUUGCGCCUGUGAAUAGCCCCUGCACUCCAGCCUGGGCAACAAGAGAGACCCCCGUCUCUU